UUGACAGCCCUGGAGAUUGAAGUCCUCUGUUUAGCCCAAUACAGGAAUAGCAUUGGUAUAUCAGUGCAGGUUUCCACAUGCUGCUUUGCCAAUGCGUCUGUCAUAAUAAUACCAUCAGUUUUGUCAGAAAUUGCCUUUUAGGUGUGUUACAAAGUCUUGACAUCAAUGGUGGUUCAUA
rnacentral:sRNA from 1 species